UACGUAGGGUACAAGGCGUUAAUCGGAAUUACUGGGCGUAAAGCGUGCGCAGGCGGUUAUGUAAGACAGAUGUGAAAUGCCCGGGCUUAACCUGGGAACUGCAUUUGUGACUGCAUGGCUAGAGUUUGGCAGAGGGGGGGUAGAAUUCCACGUGUAGCAGUGAAAUGCGUAGAUAUCUACUGGAACGCCGAUGGUGAAGACGCCCGGCUGGGCCUUUCCUGACACUGAGGCACGAAAGCGUGGGGAGCAAACAGG
rnacentral:rRNA from 1 species